GGGGCCGUAGCUCAGUUGGGAGAGCACCGCCUUUGCACGGCGGAGGUCAGGGGUUCGAAUCCCCUCGGCUCCA
rnacentral:tRNA from 1 species